UUUUUGUUCAUAUUUUCAAGUUUUAAAUCAAGCUCAUGUACAAAGGUAUUUUUUUCUUUUUUUAGUACUUCAACCUUUUCACAGAUUUUCUUUAAGUUAUUCGCUUCGUUUCAGAGGCAGUAGAAAGCUUCUAAAGAUUUCGCCUGUGGUAUUUAAUCCACCAGCGCGUAUUCGCGAAGUUUGGUCGCUUUCUGCUCCCGUAGCUGCACAACAAGCGCUCCUGUAACGACCUUCUUAGAGACCACCAUCAGAGAUAGGGCUAGGACCGCGAAACGGUGAGUACAUCUAUUGAAAUUGGAAUAAAACCUAAUGCUGCAUUUAAAAAAAAAACAUAUUUUAGUGCUAAAAUACCAAACAAAUAAGUGUUAUAGUCUUAAAGUUUGCACCGCCUCAAAAGCAUACCGUGAAUUCGGCUGAUCCUGAACUUCUCUGUCUCAAAUCUGUGUGGAUGUCAAGUCAAUCACAGUUCACGUUUGUUUUCGGAUAAAAACCCGUGUACAGUGUGUUUCUUGUGUGUGAUUUACAGUUUCCUCCUUUUGUGCAGCUUUCUUUCCUUCCACGUGGCGCAAAUGCAACAGGCUAUUAUUAGUCCGAGGGUUAUAAGUUCAUGGAAACUAUCCGAAUCACAGCCUAAAGUGUGUUUUUUCACGUUCUACAGUCAGAAGACUUCAUUAUAUCAAUUUAUCUCACACUGUGGCAGACGAAAUGUUGGUGUGUGAAAGUGGGUGUGGCAGGCGGUUGAAGCAAAACCUGUCAGACCUGUUAAAACAACAUUAAAUACGUUAAAGUUCAUGUAUGUCAAUGGGUGUUGGUUUUAUCCGAGCUGGUAGUGAAUGCAGCAUUAUCAGUUUUAAUAUGUCCUCAGUUUAGAAUAGUUGGUUAACGAGGGAUAUUUUUGUAGAUGUCCAAAUUUGGGUAAGACUAAAUUAAGCUAGUGUUGUGUCGUUCGCGAACGAUUCGUUCAAAAGAACCGAAUCUUUUAAGUGAACGUACUGAACCGAAUCACCUCCUUGAGUGAUUCCUUCGCUUCAACAGCUUUGCCAGGCCAGCAGCCGGCAAACAAGGGACCAUGUGCACUGACACCUGAAUCACUUGGUGAAUGAAUCACACAUUGAACUACACUCUCUGGAAUCAUUUUUGUUGGACAAAACCACCUUUUUUUUCACUGCUAAAUUGCCACCACAACAACUUUCAUACAAUAGGACACAGCAUUUAACAAGUAGUGCAUUAAACCUACAGCAUCUUAUCAUUGCAGCGGUUUGCAAGGGAACAGCUCAUGUUUAGUGUGAUUUCUUCUUAACGUUCAGUGAACGAAUCACUCACUGACCCCAAUUUACUGAGCAGACCUGAUAAAUAGCAUACCAUAGGACAGUACACUUAAAACAUCAUGACUUAUAAACAAGUACAUUUUUAAAAACCUGUUUAUCAAAGUAACAAAGCCAAACACUCUAGUCUCCCAGUCCCAGAAGCUAUGAAAUGAACUGAAUCCUGAACUGUUCAGCUGUGUAUCAGUUCAGGAGGUUGGAGUCGCAGGCUUCUCCUGCUAAAUGAUUUGGUGAACGAAUCUUUUGAACAAAUCUUUUUAGUGAACUGAUUCUAGUGAUUCAGUACAUCUAAAAGAACUGCCAUGCCCAUCACUAGACUUAACUACUGUCAUAAUGUAUUUUUAGACACACACAAAGUUGUCGCUGGCGCCCCCUGGCGGCAGAUACCCGACAUACUCUGACCUCAAAAGUAAGUAGGUAAAGUAAGUGGUCAAGUUUAUUUAUAGAGCGCUUUUCACAGAUAAAAAUCACAAAGUGCUGUACAUGAAAUAAGUGCAAUUAGAUAAACAUAAAACAGUACAAAAAAAUAAAUAAAUAUAAGUACAUAUGCAUACAAAAAUAUGAAUACAGUACAGUGAAUAUGGAAAUAAGUGCAGAAAUAAAAGAUAAGUAAAAGAGACAAACAAAACCCUGUUAAUUAAAAGCUUGUCUAAAUAAAAGAGUCUUAAACUGCUUUUUAAAAAUAUCAUCGAUCAGUAUCAGUCGAUCAAACGGAGGGAGAGGGGAAAAUUGUUCCAGAGUCUGGGGGCUACCGUCUUAAAAGCCCUGUCUCCCGAGUUUCAAAAAGGGUCUUCGGCACCAUUAGGGUGUUCUGGUCUGACCACUGAAGGGUGCACCUUGGGGAGUAGGGGCACAACAGAUCACUGAUAUAUUGGGGGGCCUGACCAUGCAGCGCCUGGAAAGUCAGAACUAAAAUUUUAAAAUGAAUACGGAAAUCGACAGGGGGUGAUGUGAGCAGAUUUGGGUGUGUCUGUCAGAAGUCAGGGUUUUGGACAAACUGGAGCCCCCUCAUUGCCGCCUUAUUAAAACAGAUGAACAGAGAAUUACAGUAAUCAAUACGGGAUGAGAUAGAAACAUGAAUGAUCAAAUCAAGAUCUGGUUUUGACAACAUUCCCCUCACUUAAGAGAUAUUUCUCAGGUGAUGAAACCAAUUUUUGGUCAGCUGUCACGACCAACAAAUUAAUUCACCUAAUGUUAUUUUCAAUUGGGAAUGAAAAAAUUAAUUAUUUGGCCCAGAAAACAUGUAGUUUUGGAAGUCCUAACUCAGAGGGUGGUGCUCCCCAAUGGCUCAUGGUCUCCAGUAGGCGGGACCUGAUGAUUUCCUUUACUUUAAUAAAAUCAGGUUGUUGAUUUACAUAUAAUUUGAGACUUUAUACAUAGCAUUUUUCUGUCCUCUCAUUUAUUGCUUUUGAUCCUGCAGGUACAUGAACACAUGCAAUGAAGACAGGCAUGCUCUGAUUUUAGGAUGACUGCAUUCCCAAGAAUGGUAACUCAUGUUGUUGCAGUUUUUUACUCUGGAUCAGGUUAAAACUUGCCCCUCGAGACUCAACUCUGGCUGCAGUGUCAGUGUUGUGCAGUAAGUGGGCGAACAGUAAGUACCUGGCUCACGAUGGCUCAAUUUCCACUGUGUGGUGGACUUUGGGUAAGGAACCGGGCCAGAUAUUUAGCCUACAAUGGAAUUGAUAUCAGCUAUAAUCCAUAAAAUUUAGUUACAGCAACAAAACAUCAGUGCUUGAAGUCUCACUGCUAUUGUUUCAUAUUUCCUGUAAUUCAACAUAUUAAUAGCAGUAAUCAUAAUCAUCUGUUGCUUGGUUGCACCCUUUUUCAAUUACUUUUGUUUCUCCAUUUUUAAAACUCUAUCCUGCACUUUCUUCUUGAGUUUUAAUACGUGUUAGGUGACUACAGAAACCUUUUAAUGAUGUUGUUGUUCCAGUCUAAUAACCAGUUCCUAAAAAUCAAAUGUAAACUCAGAGCUGUGAGUAAGUGGUUUUGUAAUAACAGGGGCCUGGAGUGUUCCUCUGAUGGACCUGAUAUUCCUGUGGAGCAGCAGCAGAGUCUCUUGAGCAGGUGAGCUGACGUGUUUGUCCUCUUAGCCUUGGUUGAACUUGCCCCUUGAGGCGUUGCAGUCCGACUUUGUGUCGAUCCUGUGUCAUGAGGUGGCAGAGAAUAAACGGUCUACAUCAUCAGAUUUGUUCGGUUCCCAUCACAGCGGGGAUUUGACAUGAUGUUUGUACCUACAAAAUCUAAAUAAAAUGUUUGUCUGCAUAAAUCUAAGGCUUUUAUUGUCAAGUGUGUAAUUCUUUUUUGUCUUCUUUAUUAUGAAGGAGGAAGUCUGGAGCCGCCUUCAAAUGAGAGUUUGAGACAGCCCUUCAUCAGUACUGGUUUUUCUAAUAUUUUGACUAAAAGGUAAAAUUUUGAAAUGCAUAUUCAAACUUUAAGUUAAAUGUUGCCAUAGUUAUUAGUUUAAAGCUUAUAUCAUCAACAUCCUAUCAUAUUUAGUGAAGUAUUGUUUCAUUAUGAUUAAAAAAUGUGAAAUACCUGAAACCAUUUCUUUAAUAAAGUAACAUCUGUGACCAACUUU
rnacentral:lncRNA from 1 species